UUUUUCGAUAGUUUGUCCCGAUCGUCGAUUGCGUGCAUUCCGGCUCAUAUCAUUGUCUUGAUUCGAUUGCGUGUGUUCUAACUCAUAUCAUUUUGGUAUCAGAGCCCCGUUCGUAUCAUAAGAACUACAUAUCGUUUACUGUUGCUUUUAGUUUCGAUCCUUAAAAAAAAACAAAAAAAAGAAGCCUAAAAAUCAACGUGGCCAAACCCUAAUUGGGAGGUUCUUGUUAUUCUUAGAUUUUCUUCGAACAUUGGGUUG
rnacentral:lncRNA from 1 species